UCUAUGAUAGUUUCUACUUGUCACAAUAGAACUGCCGUCAGGAACUGGCCUCCUUCCAGUCAAGAUUCGCUUUUUAUCUUUCCGCAUUUGUUCCAUCCUUCGUCCAUCCAAUAUCCGGGAUGACUUCCUUGCAAAGAAAACACAAACCUGUGAGUAUCAUUUCUUUCAUAUGAGCAUUUCGGCCCCCAACUGACUAUUUUUAGCGGAAAGUCUUUUCUAGAAAAUGCCAUAAACAGACUUUGUCUAUCGGUUGACAAAAAAAAAAAAAUAGAACUGCCGUCUUUGAUAUACUAUCAAUCCAACAGUAGCCAAAACAAAUUUAAGAAAAACUUCUUGAAAAUUCUAUAUUUCUCGCUUAAAUAUAUUUUGC
rnacentral:lncRNA from 1 species